rnacentral:rRNA from 1 species
GGAAUAUUGGUCAAUGGACGAAAGUCUGAACCAGCCAUGCCGCGUGGAGGAUGAAGGUCCUCUGGAUUGUAAACUUCUUUUAUCUGGGAAGAAAAAAGGGAAUUCUUUCCCGUCUGACGGUACCAGAUGAAUAAGCCCCGGCUAACUCCGUGCCAGCAGCCGCGGUAAUACGGAGGGUGCAAGCGUUAUCCGGCUUUACUGGGUUUAAAGGGUGCGUAGGUGGAUUGGUAAGUCCGUGGUGAAAUCCCCGAGCUUAACUUGGGAACUGCCGUGGAUACUAUCAAUCUUGAAUACCGUGGAGGUCAGCGGAAUAUGUCAUGUAGCGGUGAAAUGCUUAGAUAUGACAUAGAACACCAAUUGCGAAGGCAGCUGGCUACGCGAAUAUUGACACUGAGGCACGAAAGCGUGGGGAUCAAAC